rnacentral:rRNA from 1 species
UACGGGGGGAGCAAGCGUUGUCCGGAUUUAUUGGGCGUAAAGAGCGUGUAGGCGGCUUUGCAAGUCCGUUGUGAAAACUCGAGGCUCAACCUCGAGACGCCGGUGGAAACUGCAAAGCUAGAGUCCGGAAGAGGAGAGUGGAAUUCCUGGUGUAGCGGUGAAAUGCGCAGAUAUCAGGAGGAACACCGGUGGCGAAGGCGGGUCUCUGGGCCGAAACUGACGCUGAGGAGCGAAAGCGUGGGGAGCAAACAGG